rnacentral:tRNA from 1 species
GCUCUGGUGGUCCAGUGGUAGAAUUCUCACCUUCCAUGAAGGAGACCCAGGUUCGAUUCCUGGCUGAUGCA